GCCUGGAUGGCUCAGCUGGUGAUUGUAUCAUGCUGAUCAUGCGAAGGUUGCAGGUUCAAUCCCUGCAUGGGACA